AGGCAGCAGGCACGCAAAUUACCCACUCCCGGCACGGGGAGGUAGUGACAAAAAAUAACGAUACGGGACUCUUUUGAGGCCCCGUAAUCGGAAUGAGUACACUUUAAAUCCUUUAACAAGGAUCCAUUGAAGGGCAAGUCUGGUGCCAGCAGCCGCGGUAAUUCCAGCUUCAAUAGCGUAUAUUAAAGUUGUUGCGGUUAAAAAGCUCGUAGUUGGUUCUGCGUGCUACGCUGUCGGUUCGCCGCCUGCCGGUGUAACUGGCAUGCCGUGUCAUGUCCUGUCGGUGGCGUGCGGGCCCCUCGUCCAGGAGCCGGCUCUCGCCCUUAAAGCUUGAGUCCGGAGGCCGGAGGUCAAACCCGUGCGCCUGCUCUCUCCUACCUAGGUGCUCUUUACCGAGUGUCGAGGUAGGCCGACACGUUUACUUUGAACAAAUUAGAGUGCUCAAAGCAGGCUGAAAUCUCUGCCUGAAUAGUGGUGCAUGGAAUAAUAAAACAGGACCUUGGUUCUAUUUUGUUGGUUCUUAGGAACACAAGGUAAUGAUCAAUACGGACAGGCGGGGGCAUUCGUAUUGCGACGUUAGAGGUGAAAUCCACCAGGAGUGGAGCCUGCGGCUUAAUUAUGACUCAACACGGGAAACCUCACCAGGCCAGGACAUUGGAAGGAUUGACAGAUUGAUAGCUCUUUCUUGAUUCAGUGGGUAGUGGUGCAUGGCCGUUCUUAGUUGGUGGAUCGAUUUGUCUGGUUAAUUCCGAUAACGAACGAGACUCUAGCCUAUUAACUAGGCGUUUACCGGUGUCCCCGCCACCGGCGACAAUCAUUCUUCUUAAGGGGACAGGCGGCUUAUAGCCGCACGAGAUUGAGCAAUAACAGGUCUGUGAUGCCCUUAGAUGUCCUGGGCCGCACGCGCGCUACACUGAAGGAAUCAGCGUGUGCCUCCCUGGCCGAAAGGCCCGGGUAAUCCGCUGAACCUCCUGCGUGCUAGGAAUUGGGGCUUGCAAUUGUUCCCCAUGAACGAGGAAUUCCCAGUAAGCGCGAGUCAUAAGCUCGCGUUGAUUACGUCCCUGCCCUUUGUACACACCGCCCGUCGCUACUACCGAUUGAAUGAUUUAGUGAGGUCUUCGGACUGGCGGUAAUCCCUA
rnacentral:rRNA from 1 species